rnacentral:misc_RNA from 1 species
GUACGCCAUUCUAUAUUUUUUUCUUUCAAUUCGUUUUUGAAAACUAGGGUUUUCUUUGAUAUUUUUACCCUUUCCACAAUAAUUUCGCUCUCUUAAUCAAUGACUUUGGGGUUCAAGUUGGAUUUUUUGAUCAAAUUCUGCUAAACGAACCCUAGUAUUUGUCACGGAGAAACCCUCAACUCUUCUUGACGGAGAAACCUGCUUAUUUUACGCUUUUUUUCUUUUCUUCUUUGUUCUACCGAAGAAUAAUCUUGCUUCAGACCUGUUCUAGAAUAGACUGUUUCUUGAGUUGGUUUGAGUUUUUUUGCAUGUGAGGGAGAUUCUCUAGUCUAUGACUGUGUGGUGUUUGUUUUUCUAGUUUUUGUCUGAUGGACCUCAGAUCUGGCCUGGUUCCUUAAAGGGCUUAUGUUCUCUGACAUUACCCUCUUCGUUGAGUUUCAAGAUGGCACGUACUAAGCAAACUGCUCGUAAGUCCACUGGAGGCAAGGCUCCAAGGAAACAGCUUGCCACCAAGGCAGCCCGCAAGUCAGCCCCGACCACGGGAGGUGUGAAAAAGCCCCACAGAUACAGGCCUGGAACUGUUGCUCUUCGUGAAAUCCGUAAGUACCAAAAGAGUACUGAACUCCUCAUCAGGAAACUCCCAUUCCAGAGGCUUGUCCGUGAAAUUGCACAGGACUUCAAGACUGAUUUGCGGUUCCAGAGCCAUGCUGUUUUGGCUUUGCAAGAGGCAGCAGAAGCAUACCUUGUUGGUUUGUUUGAGGAUACCAAUCUGUGUGCCAUCCAUGCCAAACGUGUUACCAUAAUGCCCAAGGACAUUCAGCUAGCCAGGAGAAUCCGUGGUGAGAGAGCUUAAAAGCUCAAAUUUCCUGAAGGCCAGCUGUGAUUCUUCAUGAUUGGAUAGUGGAUGUGUUUGUAAUAGGAUUCUACUUUCUGUUUGUCCGUUCUUAUUUUGUAUGUCUGGUGGUUAGACUUAGGCUUGUCGUAGGGCACUUGAGUUGUGAAUGACUGGUUUGGUACAGUGGAAUAUUGGUAUUAAACUCUAAACAAUCUAAAUAUUGUUGCUAUGAUUGUUAUGGUGGUGUGUUGGCUAUGAAUUUGCUUGGUCUUAUGGUUGUUUGAGCAUGCAGCUUGCUUUCGGAGUGUGGACAUAACGGCUUGUUAAAGGAACUGUCUAUUAAUAUAGAUGGAAAUGGUGUAUCACUGGUUCCAGACUUGCUGCUAACUUGAACGCACGCUAGGAAGCUCGUUGAUAUGACUUUACUUUUGAAGAUCCUAGGCCUCUGAACGGUUUAGAUUUCUCGGUAAUUUGUAAUCUGUCGCAGGCCUCUGAUCGGUUUAGAUUUCUCGGUAAUUUGUAAUCUGUCGCAGGCCUCUGAUCGGUUUAGAUUUCUCGGUAAUUUGUAAUCUGUCGCUGCUAACGUAGCCUAGCAGUGGUACCACUUAGGAAGAAGAUACGAGGUAAAGAGAACUUUGGAGCACUAUGGCUUCUGUCUCAAAUAAAUUGGGUUUGCUCGAGGUUUAUGUGCCUAGUUCAAAGAAAGGGUAUCUUCAUCAACGGUCAUUACAAUUUUUCUUUUUGCAUUGGUAUGCCCAGCUCUUUCAUUUUUUCGUUUAUUGAAAAAAGCCCCCCAAAAGCUUAGGGAGUGUUAAAACCCCUGAUUUGCUAAAAUAGGAAUAACUAGCAACUAAAAACGCCUAAUUACAACAGUGAAGCCCACAAACAAAUCCAACAACAAUUAAAAGAAAAAGAGAACAGUUGCCCUAGACUAAUUGGAUAGGGCACUAGAAGAAAAAAGGAACAUCCGUAUCUUUUUACGUAGCAGUGUUGCUUCUCCUUGGUCGGCUAUGUGCAAGGGAGUUAGAAAGUUUAAGUAGUAAUAUAUAAAUUUCAGAGACUAAAAGGGAUAUUUUGUAAUUAAUUUCUAUUUAUGUAAUUUUGGGGU